AAAAACUAAAAAAAAAACUCUUAAGCCACCCUCCCCUUUUCUCUCAAAUCUCCGGCCAGGAUCCAGCCAUGGGUUCCAGAGAGUCUCCGCCGUAGCGCCACCGUGUGUGGCGGCCGGAGGCCCAAAAGCCUAUUGCUUCUAGGCCACGGAUCUGGGGUCGAAGUUCGUAAAAAAGGAGCCAUAGACCCGAAAAUGGGCCGAAACCCCCCGCCUUCUUCUCCUCCGGCGCGGCGUAGGUAAGUUUUUUUUUGUUUUUUUUUGUUUACUAUUUAGUGUAGAAGAUAAAAAUAAACAGAAAAAGAAGAGAUUCGGACACCAAAAUGUCACCUUCUAUUUCUUGUUUUUGUUCUUGUUUUUUUUUUAAGAAAGGGCUGAACCCCUUACAAUCUAUUUUGAAUGGCCUUUUGUAGCCAAUUUUGUUACAAUAUUUUUUUGCCUUUGUUGCUACUAUUUGCUACUGUUAUUCUUUGCGUGUCUUCUUCUUUGCAGUGAGCCAGAGACGCGGAAGGGACGUGACGUGAUGGAGGCAUGGGAGGGACAGUGGCAGGUGCGCCAUUUGAGCUGACGGCGGCCGAAGUCAGAAGACCCUAGGUGCGGCGCACCUAGGGUUUGUUUUUUGCUGUUCAUUUUUCUGAUUUUGUUGGGCUAGGGUUGUUAGAUUAUUUGGGCCUGUUUAGGUUUGGCAUUUGGGCUAGAGUGUGUUUGCCUAGGCCGGGCGAAAUUGGGCUACUACAUAAU
rnacentral:lncRNA from 1 species